rnacentral:rRNA from 1 species
AGCGAACGCUGGCGGCAGGCCUAACACAUGCAAGUCGAGCGGCCGUAGCAAUACGGCAGCGGCAGACGGGAGAGUAACACGUGGGAACGCGCCCUUCGGUUCGGAAUAACUCAGGGAAACUUGAGCUAAUACCGGAUACGCCCUUACGGGGAAAGAUUUAUUGCCGAAGGAACGGCCCGCGUCCGAUUAGCUUGUUGGUGAGGUAACGGCUCACCAAGGCGACGAUCGGUAGCUGGUCUGAGAGGAUGACCAGCCUCACCGGGACUGAGACACGGCCCAGACUCCUACGGGAGGCAGCAGUGGGGAAUAUUGGACAAUGGGCGCAAGCCUGAUCCAGCCAUGCCGCGUGGGUGAUGAAGGCCCUAGGGUUGUAAAGCCCUUUCAGCGGGGAAGAUAAUGACGGUACCCGCAGAAGAAGCCCCGGCUAACUUCGUGCCAGCAGCCGCCGUAA